rnacentral:lncRNA from 1 species
GAGCAUUGUGAAGUGUGUUAAUCAAAUAGGUUGAGUACAUCAAAUAGAAUUGAAAUAAUUACAAUUAAAAUGUAAGUAUUCAAAAUAAAGAUUGAGUACAUCAAAUAAUAUUUAACAAUGUCCAAGUAUAAUUGAUAUAUGUUUCCUUGCAAUGAUCUUCAGAUUUCUUUCCUUGCGAUGCCGACAAUCCGUCUCCACACAGAAUCCAAAGCAAAUGACCCUCAUGUGAGGGCCACGCGACGAUGUGUGCAGGAGCACUGUCAUGUCCCACAAAUAGAAUUGAAAAUAAAUAAAAAAUACACAACUGGACAUGUGCUGGACACAUGUACGGCCAUGCCGACGACGUAUCCGUGUCCAACACGUGUCUGACAUGGACACAUCCACCAAAAGCACAUGUUUGUGCUUCUUAGACAAAUAUUAUGAUGUACAAAUAUUAUGAUGUAAGUGCAUGUUUUUGUUAUCAAUAUCAAUGGCACAACCAACAUAAAAAUGAUUUAUCAAGUUUCUAGCUUUAGAGAAUAGAAGUCAUCAGAGACAUUAAAAGAUUGACAGGAUAACAUUGCCUCAAAAAUAAUGACAAUAAAUUCUAAGAUGCAUGGUUAGCAGUUUUGACAAAAGAAUAACACAUAGCUAGUUAUACAAUAACGACAAACAAAUGAAAAUGGUCAUCCAUCGGAGUCAUAUCAAUUUAUAACUGAAGGUGUGCCUUAAUAUGAUAAGAGAACACAUUUAAAUCAUUGGAUAAAUUUUAUUUAAAUUUUAACCAAGGGAUCUUCAAAUUUUUU